rnacentral:rRNA from 1 species
UCUGGUUGAUCCUGCCGGCGGGCACCGCUAUUGGAAUGCGAUUAAGCCAUGCGAGUCGAGAGGUGCAAGACCUCGGCGGACGGCUCAGUAACACGCGGAUAAUCUGCCCUCAGGUGGAGGAUAACCUCGGGAAACUGAGAAUAAUACCCCAUAGGUGCAGGGUGCUGGAAUGCCCCUAUACCGAAAACUCCGGUGCCUGAGGAUGAGUCUGCGGCCUAUCAGGUUGUAGUGGGUGUAACGGACCCACUAGCCUAUGACGGGUACGGGUCAUGAGAGUGAUUGCCCGGAGAUGGGUUCUGAGACACGAACCCAGGGUCUACGGACCGCAGCAGGCGCGAAAACUUGGCAAUGCGCUCACGCGCGACCAGGGUAUUCCAAGUGUUGCAACAUUGUUGCAACUGUUUUGCUGCCUAAAAAGCAGCGAGAGUAAGGGCCGGGUAAGACGGGUGCCAACCCACGGACAGGAUAUUUCAUGUCCGGUUCGCGGAGCAUAAGCCGCCGCGGUAAUACCCGCGGCCCGAGUGGUGCUCAUUAUUAUUGAGCCUAAAACGUCCGUAGCCGGCUUGGUAAAUCUCUGGGUAAUCGGGCCGCUCAACGGUUCGAAUUCCGGAAAAACUGCCAGGCUGGACUGGGGGAAGUUUGAGGUACUUCGGGGGUAGGGGUAAAAUCCUGUU